AGAUCUAGCCCAUAAUUCUUAGACUCAUACCACUUAACCUAAAAAAAAAACCCUACAAAAACUAACGUAGACCUAUGCACCCUAAGGAUCUCCGCCGUUACAGACCUUAGGAGAACCCCACCCCCACCCUGACGGAAUCAUCUUCUUCUCAACCAUUUCCAUGGCUUCUUAAGCAACCAAAAAACAACACCCAUCAGCAGCUACUUUUAACCCAAAAAAUCCCAGCAUCCAGCGACACACACACAAGAACGCAGUAGCCAUAAACACAACCCCUUCUCCGCCGUGCUGCUUCUUCUUCAACCGAAUGGACGAACCCCAUGAACAUCACCUUCUUCCUUAACAAAAUAAAAAAUGCCAAAGAGCCCUCUUGAACCCUAAGCAGUGACACGCACGAGCAGUCGCUGUUGAUGUUGAAUUUUGUCACUGCUCCGGCGAUGUUUGUGGUCUGGAUCGAAGGUUCCGUUUGAGUUGCCGAGGUUCAAUUCAUCGAGGUCGCUGGUUCAUAGUUCAAUCAGUAGCUUGUUGUGGUCGAAUCAAUUCGAAUUUCACAUUUGAAAAAAUAUUCAGCAAAAUGGUUUGUUCUCCUUCUUGAUUUGUGUUUUAGCUUAUGUCCCCCUAUGGUUGUUAGUUAUGGUAGUUACUGUAUGAUAUUNNN
rnacentral:lncRNA from 1 species